rnacentral:rRNA from 1 species
UACGGAGGGACUAGCGUUGUUCGGAAUUACUGGGCGUAAAGCGCACGUAGGCGGAUUUGUAAGUCAGGGUGAAAUCCCGGGCUCAACCUCGGAACUGCCUUUGAUACUGCAAAUCUCGAGUCCGGAAGAGGUGAGUGGAAUUCCUAGUGUAGAGGUGAAAUUCGUAGAUAUUAGGAAGAACACCAGUGGCGAAGGCGGCUCACUGGUCCGGUACUGACGCUGAGGUGCGAAAGCGUGGGAGC